GACGAACGCUGGCGGCGUGCUUAACACAUGCAAGUCGAACGGAAAGGCCCUGCUUUUGUGGGGUGCUCGAGUGGCGAACGGGUGAGUAACACGUGAGUAACCUGCCCUUGACUUUGGGAUAACUUCAGGAAACUGGGGCUAAUACCGGAUAGGAGCUCCUGCUGCAUGGUGGGGGUUGGAAAGUUUCGGCGGUUGGGGAUGGACUCGCGGCUUAUCAGCUUGUUGGUGGGGUAGUGGCUUACCAAGGCUUUGACGGGUAGCCGGCCUGAGAGGGUGACCGGACCAUUGGGGCAAGGUAAAGCGCCCAAGACCCGAGGGGGGGCAAAGGGGGGAGAAUUUCACAAAGGGGGGGAAGCCGAAAGCAACAACACCGGGGGCGGGAGCGCGGCCUUUGGGUUUAAAACCCUUUUCGCCGGUGAAAAAGGGGGGGGGGCGGUAAGGGGUAAAAGAGACACGGCAAAACACGUU
rnacentral:rRNA from 1 species